AUUGAACGCUGGCGGAAUGCUUUACACAUGCAAGUCGAACGGCAGCACGGACUUCGGUCUGGUGGCGAGUGGCGAACGGGUGAGUAAUGUAUCGGAACGUGCCCAGUCGUGGGGGAUAACGUAGUGAAAAUUACGCUAAUACCGCAUACGAUCUAUGGAUGAAAGCGGGGGAUCGCAAGACCUCGCGCGAUUGGAGCGGCCGAGAUCAGAUUAGGUAGUUGGUGGGGUAAAGGCCCACCAAGCCAACGACUGUAGCUGGUCUGAGAGGACGACCAGCCACACGGGAACUGGGACACGGUCCAGACUCCUACGGGAGGCAGCAGUGGGGAAUUUUGGACAAUGGGCGAAAGCCUGAUCCAGCCAUUCCGCGUGCAGGAUGAAGGCCCUCGGGUUGUAAACUGCUUUUGUACAGAACGAAAAGGUUUCUACUAAUACUAGGAGCUCAUGACGGUACUGUAAGAAUAAGCACCGGCUAACUACGUGCCAGCAGCCGCAGUAA
rnacentral:rRNA from 1 species